rnacentral:rRNA from 1 species
GUGAGUUAAACGUGCUUGGGCGAGAGUAGUUAAACGUGCUUGGGCGAGAGUAGUACUAGGAUGGGUGACCUUCUGGGAAGUCCUCGUGUUACACCCC